rnacentral:rRNA from 1 species
GACAGAGGUGCCGAGCGUUAGGCGGAAUCAGCUAGGGCUUAAAGCGUGUGUAGGCGGCCCGUUAAGUGUCCCGUGAAAUCCCCCGGCUCAACCGGGGAACCGCGGGGCAUACUGGCGGGCUUGGGUCGCUCGAGGGGCAAGCGGGAACAAGGCGGGUGGAGGCGGUUGAAAUGCGGUAGAUAAUCGCCUGGAACGCCGAAGGUGAAAACAGGCGUGCUGGGGGCGUGACCGGACGCCUGAGACACGAAAGCCAGGGGAGCGAACGGGGAAUUAGACGUACCCCGAGUAAGUCC